UGGAUCAGUCUUUGUGAGCUUUAUAGCGGGUUUCAGCUGAGUUUUUGUGAAAAAUUCUCUACAACAGCUAUAGAAACUGGCCUUUACCCGUGCUCAAGGAGAAUUCAAGUCGAAAUGAAAUCAAAUAACACCAAGCGUCUUUUGCCACAGAGGAGAGAGAAGCAAAGCCAGGAUGCAACAUGAUGAUGGGUUAUCCAGCUGGUUCUUUGAAAACCUUGGGAUCUUUAUAUCAACAACUAGAUGUAAGGCAUGAAGGGACAUGUUUUCUUCAAUUGUAGACUCUGGGAUUGUCAGUAAGCAAGCACCAGGAGACAUUAUAGAGGCUCUCCAUGGCUGGAUCACUGGAAAGCCCAAGUAGUAGUAUCUAGAAUUUCAUGGCAUUUCAUACAGCCCUUCUUGCCAUGCAUCCACAGUAAACACCCACAAUAAGAACCCACUUUUUUCUGAGUUACUAUAGCCUAAACAUAUUCUUAUAUGAGAGGUGCUCAGUGAUAUUUUAGGCUAUUUACUAUAGGCUCUUCCUCUUAUAGUAGAUUCUUAUUUUUAUAUGAAGUUAUGGUAGCAUUGUCAGGCAGACUUAUUGAUGUAGAUUGUAAAAAGAGUCUUCUUAUUUUUCUUUUUUUUUCCUGACCAUCCUCAUCUCUAAAAUUAUGAACCUGCUCCAAAUGCUUGGCCUAAUAGAUUCUUAUACAAAAAUGGGGUUCUAAUUUGAACAUUUUAGGCCAACAGGUUCUUAUACACAGGUGCUCACUGCAGUUGUAAAAGUUCAAUAUGUUCUAUUUAAAAAAAGAUCUUUCUUUUUUGACCCUCACCUUGUGGCAUUUAUUUAUUUAGUAAUGCUCAUUUAGUUAUUUUUUUAUCGAAUGUUUUUAGAGAAACUCAGCGAUUUUACUAAGUAGAAGUUGUAUUGCACAGUACCUUUUAUAUGAAAAUUAUAUUAUUGUUACUAGAAAUGAGAGGGUUAUUAGGUAUUCUUUUACGUUCCAAUUGUUUAUGCGAGUACCCGGGGUUCCAGAGGCUGAAUAUCCGCUUUUCCCAGCAUGCUAGGGGGCGGGAGAAUCGAAAAAUCUCGCUUCGCUCGAAAAACUCUCGGAGCCUCUGGUCUCCAGGGUAUUAUGCGAGUUAAAAUAGUUUAAAUACUUAUUUAUUUGAGAGCGAUUACAAGUUGUUAUUUAAUAUGAACGAUUAUAAUGACAUGCUGUUUAUUUAAAGUAUAUAGGAUUUUAAGCAGGGAACGUUUACAAGAAACUAUUUAGUGCUAUGUAAAAUUACGAUACGAUGUGACAUGUUAAAUAAAUUUGUAUUUUAUUAACA